rnacentral:rRNA from 1 species
AUUGAAAGCUGGCGGCAGGCCUAACACAGGCAAGUCGAGCGAGCGGCGGACGGGUGAGUAACACGUGGGUAACUACCCAUCAGAGGGGGAUAACACUUGGAAACAGGUGCUAAUACCGCAUAUGAUGGAUGGCCCGCGGUGCAUUAGCUAGUUGGUGAGGUAACGGCUCACCUAGGCGACGAUCUCUAGCUGGUCUGAGAGGAUGAUCAGCCACACUGGGACUGAGACACGGCCCAGACUCCUACGGGAGGCAGCAGUGGGGAAUAUUGCACAAUGGGCGGAAGCCUGAUGCAGCGACGCCGCGUGGGGGAUGACGGCCUUCGGGUUGUAAACUCCUUUCACCCUCGACGCGGUAGAUGGAGAAGCAGCACCGGCUAACUACGUGCCAGCCGCCGCGGUAAUUC